rnacentral:rRNA from 1 species
UGGGGAAUAUUGCACAAUGGGCGCAAGCCUGAUGCAGCCAUGCCGCGUGUGUGAAGAAGGCCUUCGGGUUGUAAAGCACUUUCAGCGAGGAGGAAGGUGGUGAACUUAAUACGUUCAUCAAUUGACGUUACUCGCAGAAGAAGCACCGGCUAACUCCGUGCCAGCAGCCGCGGUAAUACGGAGGGUGCAAGCGUUAAUCGGAAUUACUGGGCGUAAAGCGCACGCAGGCGGUUUGUUAAGUCAGAUGUGAAAUCCCCGGGCUCAACCUGGGAACUGCAUUUGAAACUGGCAAGCUAGAGUCUCGUAGAGGGGGGUAGAAUUCCAGGUGUAGCGGUGAAAUGCGUAGAGAUCUGGAGGAAUACCGGUGGCGAAGGCGGCCCCCUGGACGAAGACUGACGCUCAGGUGCGAAAGCGUGGGGCAGCAAACAGGAUUAGAUACCCUGGUAGUCCACGCUGUAAACGAUGUCGAUUUUGGAGGUUGUGCCCUUGAGGCGUGGCUUCCGGAGCUAACGCGUUAAAUCGACCGCCUGGGGAGUACGG